UCCUCGACCACGUUCUGGCUCACAAACGUCUACGGCCCAACCGACGACAACCUAAAGGAUGUGUUUCUAGCCGAGAUAGCCGCCGCAGCCCCGCCGCUAGGCCAGCCUUGGCUUCUGAUGGGCGACUUCAAUAUCAUAUAUCCGGCCAGCGACAAGAGAAACCUUAAUAUAAAUAGAAGGAUCAUGGGU
rnacentral:rRNA from 1 species